UUUUCUUCUUUCCUUGGCACCGCCGGUGUAGAUUUAUUCCCGGAGCCUCAAGGAUGAGCUAUCUUGUUCUUCUUUGAUUUCCCGCAAACCUCAGCGCCGAACCUUUCCUCGAUUCCUCCUCUUCCUCUUGUGGCGCUGUGCCCUAGCCGGAUCUUGGAGGUAAGGCAUCGUACUCUGUGGGUUGUUGAGAUGUUGUGUGACCGAUUCUUCUUUUCCCUUGCUCACCAGAGACGUUUGAUUGUUGAGGUAAUCUGGUGGGGGAGUCUUCUUCCGGCAGCAACCAUCUAUGGUUGAGGAUCAGCAGAAAGUGAACUGUUGAUUGCCUCUAAACCUUACGUGAGAAAGAUUCCAGCAGGGAAGUUUAGUUUUGUGGUGUUCUUUGGUCCCAUCAACUACUCUUUCAUGGUAGUAACGAUUCUGGAUUGGGGAUCAACAGAAGGGGCUGAGCUUGAGUUAAGAUUGGGAGGCCAGGGUAUAGGGUCUCAAAGCAAUUUGAUCCAGAGACAAAACAACGGUCUCUUCUAUUUCAGGACCUUAAGAUUGUUUAAUUCAAACAAGGGAAGGAAAGGUAGAAAAAAAGGCUAUGUGGGAAGUAGUAAAGGCUCCUCGACAACAAGAUGCCAAACAAUGUGGUUAUUAUGUGAUGUGAUUUAUGAGACAAAUUGUUGAAGAAGUUGAAAUUAUCGAGAGAAAUUCCCUACGAUCUAUAUUCACACAAAAGGAGUAUUCUCAAGAAGAAAUUGAUGAGGUGCGAUCGGAGUUGGCAGAAUGUAUACAAGAUCAUAUUUAUGAGUAGAUGCGUUCAAGUUUAUCCAACCCUUUGUUUCAAAGUAUUUUGAUGUUAUUGAUCCUUCAAGGACGAACAACAAUCUUUGACAAAGUUUCAGAACAAGAUACACAGUGGUAGGUGUUUUGUGCCAAGUCUCAAGCCGACAAUCCUUUUUGAACAAUAUUUCUAGUAGAAGUAAGCAUGCAGAUCGUUAUCUUCGAGGCCGGCUCACUAUUUUGUGUUUGUUUGUUUUAAAUUUGAAUGUCACUAUCUACUAUGAAACAGAACUAUUUAGUCUUUGUAUAUAGUUGAAUUCUUCUAUAAAUUCUAAUAUUUUGUGGUUGUAUUCUA